GAGCCUGAGAAACGGCUACCACAUCCAAGGAAGGCAGCAGGCGCGCAAAUUACCCAAUCCCGACACGGGGAGGUAGUGACAAUAAAUACUGAUACAGGGCUCUUUUGGGUCUUGUAAUUGGAAUGAGUACAAUUUAAACCUCUUAACGAGGAACAAUUGGAGGGCAAGUCUGGUGCCAGCAGCCGCGGUAAUUCCAGCUCCAAUAGCGUAUAUUAAAGUUGUUGCAGUUAAAAAGCUCGUAGUUGAAACUUGGGCCUGGCUGGCAGGUCCGCCUCACCGCGUGUACUUGUCCGGCCGGGCCUUUCCUUCUGGAGAACCUCAUGCCCUUCACUGGGUGUGUUGGGGAACCAGGACUUUUACUUUGAAAAAAUUAGAGUGUUCAAAGCAGGCCUUUGCUCGAAUACGUUAGCAUGGAAUAAUAGAAUAGGACGUGCGGUCCUAUUUUGUUGGUUUCUAGGACCGCCGUAAUGAUUAAUAGGGACAGUCGGGGGCAUCAGUAUUCAAUUGUCAGAGGUGAAAUUCUUGGAUUUAUUGAAGACUAACUACUGCGAAAGCAUUUGCCAAGGAUGUUUUCAUUAAUCAGUGAACGAAAGUUAGGGGAUCGAAGACGAUCAGAUACCGUCGUAGUCUUAACCGUAAACUAUGCCGACUAGGGAUCGGGCGAUGUUCUUUUUCUGACUCGCUC
rnacentral:rRNA from 3 species